rnacentral:misc_RNA from 1 species
GUCGGUUGAUCCCCCUUUCGAUUUCUAGAAUCUAUCAGCGGUUCAGUCUCAGCAUCUCGACGGACGGAACCAGCUGGCAUCUGUACUGACACUGACAUUUUGGAGUCCGGUGGCUCAAAAGGCGGUCUACGGCGGGAGGAGCCAGCGGAGAUGGUGAAGGAAAGCGUUUUCCGGCGGCGAAAACGAGAGAGGAUUGGAGAGAGGGAGAGGAAGGAGAAAA